rnacentral:rRNA from 1 species
GAUGAACGCUGGCUACAGGCUUAACACAUGCAAGUCGAGGGGAAACGACGGGGAAGCUUGCUUCCCCGGGCGUCGACCGGCGCACGGGUGAGUAACGCGUAUCCAACCUGCCUCUGACUGAGGGAUAACCCGUCGAAAGUCGGCCUAAUACCUCAUGGCAUCGUCUGCGGGCAUCCAACGACGAUUAAAGAUUUCAUCGGUCAGGGAUGGGGAUGCGUCUGAUUAGUUAGUUGGCGGGGUAACGGCCCACCAAGGCGACGAUCAGUAGGGGUUCUGAGAGGAAGGUCCCCCACAUUGGAACUGAGACACGGUCCAAACUCCUACGGGAGGCAGCAGUGAGGAAUAUUGGUCAAUGGGCGAGAGCCUGAACCAGCCAAGUAGCGUGCAGGAAGACGGCCCUAUGGGUUGUAAACUGCUUUUAUGCGGGGAUAAAGUGGGGGACGUGUCCUUCAUUGCAGGUACCGCAUGAAUAAGGACCGGCUAAUUCCGUGCCAGCAGCCGCGGUAAUACGGAAGGUCCGGGCGUUAUCCGGAUUUAUUGGGUUUAAAGGGAGCGUAGGCCGUGGAUUAAGCGUGUUGUGAAAUGCAGGUGCUCAACGUCUGCACUGCAGCGCGAACUGGUUCACUUGAGUGUGCACAACGCAGGCGGAAUUCGUCGUGUAGCGGUGAAAUGCUUAGAUAUGACGAAGAACUCCGAUUGCGAAGGCAGCUUGCGGGAGCACAACUGACGCUGAAGCUCGAAAGUGCGGGUAUCGAACAGG